rnacentral:rRNA from 1 species
GUGUCAGCCGCCGCGGUAAUACGGAGGGGGCGAGCGUUGUCCGAAGUUACUGGGCGUAAAGCGCGCGUAGGCGGGUCGAAAAGUCCGCUGUGAAAGCCCGAGGCUUAACCUCGGCGGGUCGGUGGAUACUUUCGGUCUUGAAGGUGCUAGGGGGAAAUGGAAUUACCGGUGUAGCGGUGAAAUGCGUAGAUAUCGGUAGGAACACCAGUGGCGAAGGCGGUUUCCUGGGGCAUUCUUGACGCUGAGGCGCGAAAGCUGGGGGAGCGAACGGGAUUAGAAACCCCCGUAGUCC